rnacentral:rRNA from 1 species
AUUGAACGCUGGCGGCAUGCCUUACACAUGCAAGUCGAACGGCAGCACGGGAGCAAUCCUGGUGGCGAGUGGCGAACGGGUGAGUAAUGUAUCGGAACGUGCCCAGUCGUGGGGGAUAACGCAGCGAAAGCUGUGCUAAUACCGCAUACGAUCUAUGGAUGAAAGCGGGGGAUCGCAAGACCUCGCGCGAUUGGAGCGGCCGAUAUCAGAUUAGGUAGUUGGUGGGGUAAAGGCCCACCAAGCCUGCGAUCUGUAGCUGGUCUGAGAGGACGAUCAGCCACACUGGGACUGGGACACGGCCCAGACUCCUACGGGAGGCAGCAGUGGGGAAUUUUGGACAAUGGGCGCAAGCCUGAUCCAGCAAUGCCGCGUGCAGGACGAAGGCCUUCGGGCUGUAAACUGCUUUUGUACGAGACGAAAAGACUCGCUCUAAUACAGUGGGUACAUGACGGUAUCGUAAGAAUAAGCACCGGCUAACUACGUGCCAGCCGCCGCCGUAA